rnacentral:rRNA from 1 species
UACGAAGGGGGCUAGCGUUGUUCGGAAUUACUGGGCGUAAAGCGCACGUAGGCGGGUCGUUAAGUCGAGGGUGAAAUCCUGGAGCUCAACUCCAGAACUGCCUUCGAUACUGGCGAUCUUCGAGUCCGGGAGAGGUGAGUGGAACUCCGAGUGUAGAGGUGAAAUUCGUAGAUAUUCGGAAGAACACCAGUGGCGAAGGCGGCUCACUGGCCCGGUACUGACGCUGAGGUGCGAAAGCGUGGGGAGCAAACAGG